CCUACGGGAGGCAGCAGUGAGGAAUAUUGGUCAAUGGACGAGAGUCUGAACCAGCCAAGUAGCGUGAAGGAUGACUGCCCUAUGGGUUGUAAACUUCUUUUAUAAAGGAAUAAAACGAGGCACGUGUGCCUUUUUGCAUGUACUUUAUGAAUAAGGAUCGGCUAACUCCGUGCCAGCAGCCGCGGUAAUACGGAGGAUCCGAGCGUUAUCCGGAUUUAUUGGGUUUAAAGGGAGCGUAGAUGGGUUGUUAAGUCAGUUGUGAAAGUUUGCGGUUCAACCGUAAAAUUGCAAUUGAGACUGGCAGUCUUGAGUACAGUUGAGGUAGGCGGAAUGCGUGGUGUAGCGGUGAAAUGCUUAGAUAUCACGAAGAACCCCGAUUGCGAAGGCAGCUUACUAAACUGUGACUGACAUUGAUGCUCGAAAGUGUGGGUAUCGAACAGGAUUAGAUACCCUUGUAGUC
rnacentral:rRNA from 1 species